GCUAAACGCGAAGAACCUUACCCACCUUUGACAUGGUCGGAAUCCUGCAGAGACGCAGGAGUGCUCGCAAGAGAGCCGUAACACAGGUGCUGCAUGGCUGUCGUCAGCUCGUGUCGUGAGAUGUUGGGUUAAGUCCCGCAACGAGCGCAACCCUUGCCAUUAGUUGCUACGAAAGGGCACUCUAAUGGGACUGCCGGUGACAAACCGGAGGAAGGUGGGGAUGACGUCAAGUCCUCAUGGCCCUUAUAGGUGGGGCUACACACGUCAUACAAUGGCUGGUACAGAGGGUUGCCAACCCGCGAGGGGGGAGCCAAUCCCACAAAGCCAGUCGUAGUCCGGAUCGCAGUCUGCAACUCGACUGCGUGAAGUCGGAAUCGCUAGUAAUCGUGGAUCAGAAUGUCACGGUGAAUACGUUCCCGGGUCUUGUACACACCG
rnacentral:rRNA from 1 species